rnacentral:rRNA from 1 species
GACGAACGCUGGCGGCGUGCUUAACACAUGCAAGUCGAACGGAAAUGCCCAGCUUGCUGGGUGCUCGAGUGGCGAACGGGUGAGUAACACGUGGGUGAUCUGCCCAUAACUUCGGGAUAAGCUAGGGAAACUGGCUCUAAUCCCGGAUAGGACAAUCGUUUAGUGUCGGCCGUGGAAAGUUUUUUCGGUUCGGGAUGAGCUCGCGGACUAUCAGCUUGUUGGUGGGGUAAUGGCCUACCAAGGCGUCGACGGGUAGCCAGCCUGAGAGGGUGGGCGGCCACAUUGGGACUGAGAGACAGUCCAGACUCCUACAGGAGGCAGCAGUGGGGAAUAUUGCACAAUGGGGGCAAGCCUGAUGCAGUGACGCCGCGUGGGGGAUGACGGCCUUCGAGUGGUAAACCUCUUUCGACAGGGACGAAGCUUUGGUGACGGUACCCGUAUAAGAAGCACCGGCUAACUACGUGCCAGCAGCCGCGGUAACAC